UUAUAAUACAUAAAUGUAAAUGCAAUUCCUUGGAGGUUUUCUGUUUUAGGUUGGGAAUAACUGACACAGAGACCUGUUUUGUUUUGUUUUAAAGGUUUAUUUAUUUAUUUUAUAUAUAUGAUUACACUGUAGCUGUACAGGUGGUUAUGAGCCAUCAUGUGGUUGCUGGGAAUUGAAUUUAGGACCUCUGCUCGCACCGAUUGACCCUCUGGCCUAAAGAUUUUAUUUAUUAUUAUACAUAAGUACACUGUAGCUGUCUUCAGACACACCAGAAGAGGGCGUCAGAUCUCAUUACUGAUGGUUGUGAGCCACCAUGUGGUUGCUGGAAUUUGAACUCAGGACCUUCGGAAGAGCCGUCGGUGCUCUUAACCACUGAGCUAUCUCUCUAGCCCAUUUUGUUUUGUUUUACUUACUCACUUUACAAUCCACUCACUGCCCGCCUCCUGGUCAGUCUUCCCACAAUACAUCUCUCCUCCCCUUCUCCUCUGAGAGAAGUGUAUUCCUCCACUCUGGCACACCAAGUCUCUGUAGGGCUAGGUGCUUCCUCUCCCACUGAGGCCAAACAAGGCAGCCUAGCUAGAAAAACAUGUCCCACAUACAGGCAACAGCUUUUGAGAUAGCCCCUGUUCCAGUUCUUUGGGAACCAUGUGAAGACCAAGCUGCACACCUGUUACACAUGUGUAGGUAUACUGAGGGCUAGCCCGUGUAUGUUCUUUGGUUGGUGGUUCAGUCUCUGAGAGCUCCAAGGGUCCAGGUUAUUUGAAUCUGCUAGUCUUCCUGUGGAAUUCCUAACCCCUUAAGAGCCUGAAAUCCUUCCUCCUAAUAAGAGUCCCCAAGCUCCAUCUACUGUUUGGCUAUGGUAUUUUUAUUAACAAGCUGGAGACCUAAGCUGGGCAGGUUCUGAACUACUGUAAUCCUCUAAGCUAUUUAUGUCCCAGCCGCAGGCCCCAUGGUACUUGCAGUUUGAGUCUCCCCCUGGCUUCCUAUGCUCCAUGUGUAUCCUCAUGGUGAAUGCCUUGGCGACCUGUUCAUCACAACUCCUCCUGGAUUCUCUGCCUCAUGGCCACCUCGCCCUUCUCCCUCCUGCUCUACCUCCUCUCCUCUGGUCUCUCUGGGACCCCUCCCCACUAGAAUCAGAAGUCCCUCCCUAUUCUCUUCUGACCAGUAACUGGCUGAUCAGCUCUUUACUGACCAAUCAGAAGGCAAUGGAAAAGAAUGUUCAUGAAACACUGAGGCAGGUGAUGCUUCAUAAAAAUAACGUUACCAAAAUCUGGAUGGUAGUCAAUCAACUCUUUGCAGCUAUAGAUUUCAGCAUUUGAAUAAAGCAAAGACAGCAUUUACACAGUGCACAAAAAGAUUAUCCCUACACAUAAAUAUAUGAGAAUGCAUAUAAAAAUAUUUUAUAUUACAAAAUACCAAGCAGUUAAAUUACUAUCUCCCAAAUGAAAUAAAAUGAAUAAUAAUUGUAUAAAAUACUAAUAGCAAUAAAUUGACUUACAAACUGUGUGCUAUAUGCAGAGCCACCAAGGUAGCUGAGUCAGCAAGCACAAAUGCUAGAUCCUGCCUUUGAGGUUAUUAAGUGCAGAGUCAGGCUUAUGAUGGCCACCUAAGCUUCCCAAGAGUGGAAGCAACAACAGCUCUGUUUGUUGAGCGCUUACUAUGUACCAGGCACAGCUCCAAAUGCUUACUCAUCAAGAUUGUGUUCUAUUACCCCCUGUUAUGUGAUUAGGAACCUGAAGAACAGAGAGGGGGAUUAACCUUCCCCAGUCACACAGCAGAGUUUAUGCUUGCAGCCAGCAUCUUCCAGGUCCCUGGCUCUUCAGAGGUGAUAUUUUUCUUCCCAGUAGUCUAGUUUUAAAUCUCAGGAGUCAAAUGGAAUGACUCUGACCCCCCCCAUUCUACCCCAAGAUUGUCCUGGAUGCUCUGUGUAGAGAUGAAGACAGAGAAUCCUGAAGCUAGGGGGGGUGGGGGGCACACCCUCAUGACAUUCAUGAAGGCCCUGGGCAUACAAUGAGAGCUGUCAGCCAUGCCUGGCCAGCAUGUAACAUCAGAGACCCAGGGAGGAAAUGGGCAGGUCUCUGAGGGCAGAAGGAAUCACAGAUAGAACUGAGAGGAGCCAACAAAGGGACAGCAAGAGCUGGAAGGGGCCAUCUGUCCUCUACAGUCUGGACUGGCCAAAGCCCUCUGUCCUGGGGGCAAAUGAACCCCAGAUGAGCCCUUGUGAGCUUUCCUGUCUAAUGCAGAGGCUUUGACAUGCCCUUUUCCUUGGUUAUGUGCUGCGAUGGCUAUUCCUCAUUGUCACCUUGACUACAUCUGGAAUGAACUACAAUCAAGAAAUGGAGGGCACACCUGUGAUCCAGAUCUCGAGGCUAGAAAACACAGACUUUUGAUCUGAAUCUUGAAGCCGUGAAAAGUUUAGGCCCAGGCAAGGUGGCACAUGCUUUUAAUCCCUGAAGACAAAGGCAAGCAUAUCUCUGAGUUCAAGGUCACCCUGGGACAGGGCAAAUUCCAAGUAAAGAACAAUUUAGGUCCAGGUAUGGUGGUACACUCCUUUAAUCUGGGCCUCACCUUCUGCUGGAAGUCUGCAUAAGAACAAUGGGGAAAAGUGAGGCUUCCUUUGAAGUGGAAACUUCUAGUUCUUUAGAAAGUCAGUUAUGCCAAAUGAUGUUUUGCUGGGGCACACAGGUGAAAGGAUGUUUGGCUAUAGCAGUCACAUGAAAGGACACUUGAUGACGGAGUAUAAUUAUGACCCCACAGACAGUGCGAGAUGAGCACUGAGCUUUGAUUCGGUUUGCUCUGCCUCACUGUUCUUUGCCAAAGACACACAUGUUCACUUUACAUAGCAUUGUUGAGCUCAGCUUGUGGUGACACUGCCAUUGAGAGAAACUCACCAAAGAACCGCUCCUGAGGUUCCUGUGGCAGCUUGGUGCUUCUGUGGCCUUACCUUAAGCCAGUUGGCAAGCCUGGCGAUUUCUUUAGGAUUAAACUACAGCUGCCUGGUGUCUGCUUGCUGAAAGGGCUGGACUGUAGCUGGUGGUUUGUGCCUGGUGUCUGCCUGCCGAGAGGACUGGUCUGCAGCUGCUGCUGGGUCAUAUUUGGUGUUUGCUACUGGACUGAACUGCUGCCCAAGAAGAUUAAGCUUGCCCCCAAAGAACUAUUGCUGAACAGGUCCACUUCCCCAUAUUCUAGUAACUUUUCUCUUUCACUCCCUAUGCUGGGUGGUGGGCUAAAGGAGAGGUUAAACCCUUAUUAAAAAUAGGUUGC
rnacentral:lncRNA from 1 species